AAACCAGCACCUCAAGUGGUCAGGAUGAUUAUUGGGCCUAAAGCAUCCGUAGCCGGCUCUGUAAGUUUUCGGUUAAAUCUGUACGCUUAACGUACAGGCUGCUGGGAAUACUGCAGAGCUAGGGAGUGGGAGAGGUAGACGGUACUCGGGAGGAAGUGGUAAAAUGCUUUGAUCUCUCGAUGACCACCUGUGGCGAAGGCGGUCUACCUGAACACGUCCGACGGUGAGGGAUGAAAGCUGGGGGAGCAAACCGGAUUAGAAACCCCUGUAGUCC
rnacentral:rRNA from 1 species